GGCUGCUCUCAGCUCGUGUUGUGAAAUGUUGGGUUAAGUCCCGCAACGAGCGCAACCCUUAUCCUUUGUUGCCAGCGGUUAGGCCGGGAACUCAAAGGAGACUGCCAGUGAUAAACUGGAGGAAGGUGGGGAUGACGUCAAGUCAUCAUGGCCCUUACGAGUAGGGCUACACACGUGCUACAAUGGCGCAUACAAAGAGAAGCGACCUCGCGAGAGCAAGCGGACCUCAUAAAGUGCGUCGUAGUCCGGAUUGGAGUCUGCAACUCGACUCCAUGAAGUCGGAAUCGCUAGUAAUCUGA
rnacentral:rRNA from 1 species